GAAUGUACCCGGCAGGGGAGACACCACGACCAAGAAGGUGGCUCCCCCAGGGCGAGGCUUGACCAUUGCACUCCGGUUAUGCUGACCCCUGCAAAUUCCCUAAUGUGGGAAUCUCAACUGCAUAAUUUUUGGGGCGGCAUGGUGGCGCAGUGGUUAGCGCCGUCACCUC